rnacentral:siRNA from 1 species
UGUAACGGCGCAGUUCUCGGUUGG